rnacentral:tRNA from 1 species
UGCUUGGGUAGCUCAGUUGGUAGAGCGUUUGCCCGCGGAAGCAAAGGUCCCGAGUUCGAGUCUCGGUCCGGCAC